rnacentral:rRNA from 1 species
UAGCGUAGGGGCGUAGCGUUGUCCGGAAUCAUUGGGCGUAAAGCGCGCGUAGGCGGCCCGGUAAGUCCGCUCUGAAAGUCCAGGGCUCAACCCUGGAAAGCGGGUGGAUACUGCCGGGCUAGAAUCCGGAAGAGGCGAGUGGAAUUCCUGGUGUAGCGGUGGAAUGCGCAGAUAUCAGGAGGAACACCAAUAGCGAAGGCAGCUCGCUGGGACGG